ACGUAAUGUGAUUUCUGCUCAGUGCUCUGAAUGUCAAAAGUGAAGUAAUUCAACCAAGCGCGGGUAAACAGCGGGAGUAACUAUGACUCUCUUAAGGUAGCCAAAUGCCUCGUCAUCUAAUUAGUGACGCGCAUGAAUGGAUUAACGAGAUUCCCCACUGUCCCUACUUGCUAUCUAGCGAACCAACAGCCAAGGGAACGGGCUUGGCAAUGUCAGCGGGGAAAGAAGACCCUAUUGAGCUUGACUCUAGUCUAAAAUUGUGAAAUAUUUUUAUGGGUGUAGAAUAGGUGGGAGUUUGUAAAAACAAUCUUGAAAUACCACUACCGUAAAUAAUAUUUUACUUAUCUAAUUAUUAUAUAAUAUUAUUUUAAAUAAAUAAUAUUUUUUUGAUUUAAAAUGAUAUAUUCUUAUCAUUUAAUAUUCAGGGGUUAGAAAAAAUUUUAGUUUGGGAGUUUGGCUGGGGC
rnacentral:rRNA from 1 species